rnacentral:rRNA from 1 species
GGUUAAGCGACUAAGCGUACACGGUGGAUGCCCUGGCAGUCAGAGGCGAUGAAGGACGUGCUAAUCUGCGAAAAGCGUCGGUAAGGUGAUAUGAACCGUUAUAACCGGCGAUGUCCGAAUGGGGAAACCCAGUGUGAUUCGUCACACUAUCGUUAACUGAAUACAUAGGUUAACGAGGCGAACCGGGGGAACUGAAACAUCUAAGUACCCCGAGGAAAAGAAAUCAACCGAGAUUCCCCCAGUAGCGGCGAGCGAACGGGGAGCAGCCCAGAGUCUGAAUCAGCUUGUGUGUUAGUGGAACGGUCUGGAAAGUCCGACGGUACAGGGUGAUAGUCCCGUACACCAAAAUGCACAGGCUGUGAACUCGAAGAGUAGGGCGGGACACGUGGUAUCCUGUCUGAAUAUGGGGGGACCAUCCUCCAAGGCUAAAUACUCCUGACUGACCGAUAGUGAACCAGUACCGUGAGGGAAAGGCGAAAAGAACCCCGGCGAGGGGAGUGAAAAAGAACCUGAAACCGUGUACGUACAAGCAGUGGGAGCACCUUCGGGUGUGACUGCGUACCUUUUGUAUAAUGGGUCAGCGACUUAUAUUCUGUAGCAAGGUUAACCGUAUAGGGGAGCCGCAGGGAAACCGAGUCUUAACUGGGCGUUAAGUUGCAGGGUAUAGACCCGAAACCCGGUGAUCUAGCCAUGGGCAGGUUGAAGGUUGGGUAACACUAACUGGAGGACCGAACCGACUAAUGUUGAAAAAUUAGCGGAUGACUUGUGGCUGGGGGUGAAAGGCCAAUCAAACCGGGAGAUAGCUGGUUCUCCCCGAAAGCUAUUUAGGUAGCGCCUCGUGAAUUCAUCUUCGGGGGUAGAGCACUGUUUCGGCUAGGGGGUCAUCCCGACUUACCAACCCGAUGCAAACUACGAAUACCGAAGAAUGUUAUCACGGGAGACACACGGCGGGUGCUAACGUCCGUCGUGAAGAGGGAAACAACCCAGACCGCCAGCUAAGGUCCCAAAGUCAUGGUUAAGUGGGAAACGAUGUGGGAAGGCACAGACAGCCAGGAUGUUGGCUUAGAAGCAGCCAUCAUUUAAAGAAAGCGUAAUAGCUCACUGGUCGAGUCGGCCUGCGCGGAAGAUGUAACGGGGCUAAACCAUGCACCGAAGCUGCGGCAGCGACACUAUGUGUUGUUGGGUAGGGGAGCGUUCUGUAAGCCUGCGAAGGUGACCUGUGAGGGUUGCUGGAGGUAUCAGAAGUGCGAAUGCUGACAUAAGUAACGAUAAAGCGGGUGAAAAGCCCGCUCGCCGGAAGACCAAGGGUUCCUGUCCAACGUUAAUCGGGGCAGGGUGAGUCGACCCCUAAGGCGAGGCCGAAAGGCGUAGUCGAUGGGAAACAGGUUAAUAUUCCUGUACUUGGUGUUACUGCGAAGGGGGGACGGAGAAGGCUAUGUUAGCCGGGCGACGGUUGUCCCGGUUUAAGCAUGUAGGCUGAUUAUCCAGGCAAAUCCGGAUAAUCAAGGCUGAGGUGUGAUGACGAGGCACUACGGUGCUGAAGUAACAAAUGCCCUGCUUCCAGGAAAAGCCUCUAAGCAUCAGGUAACAUCAAAUCGUACCCCAAACCGACACAGGUGGUCAGGUAGAGAAUACCAAGGCGCUUGAGAGAACUCGGGUGAAGGAACUAGGCAAAAUGGUGCCGUAACUUCGGGAGAAGGCACGCUGGUGUGUAGGUGAAGUCCCUGCGGAUGGAGCUGAGACCAGUCGAAGAUACCAGCUGGCUGCAACUGUUUAUUAAAAACACAGCACUGUGCAAACACGAAAGUGGACGUAUACGGUGUGACGCCUGCCCGGUGCCGGAAGGUUAAUUGAUGGGGUUAUCCGUAAGGAGAAGCUCUUGAUCGAAGCCCCGGUAAACGGCGGCCGUAACUAUAACGGUCCUAAGGUAGCGAAAUUCCUUGUCGGGUAAGUUCCGACCUGCACGAAUGGCGUAAUGAUGGCCAGGCUGUCUCCACCCGAGACUCAGUGAAAUUGAACUCGCUGUGAAGAUGCAGUGUACCCGCGGCAAGACGGAAAGACCCCGUGAACCUUUACUAUAGCUUGACACUGAACAUUGAGCCUUGAUGUGUAGGAUAGGUGGGAGGCUUUGAAGCGUGGACGCCAGUCUGCGUGGAGCCAACCUUGAAAUACCACCCUUUAAUGUUUGAUGUUCUAACGUUGGCCCCUUACCGGGGUUGCGGACAGUGUCUGGUGGGUAGUUUGACUGGGGCGGUCUCCUCCCAAAGCGUAACGGAGGAGCACGAAGGUUAGCUAAUCCUGGUCGGACAUCAGGAGGUUAGUGCAAUGGCAUAAGCUAGCUUGACUGCGAGCGUGACGGCGCGAGCAGGUGCGAAAGCAGGUCAUAGUGAUCCGGUGGUUCUGAAUGGAAGGGCCAUCGCUCAACGGAUAAAAGGUACUCCGGGGAUAACAGGCUGAUACCGCCCAAGAGUUCAUAUCGACGGCGGUGUUUGGCACCUCGAUGUCGGCUCAUCACAUCCUGGGGCUGAAGUAGGUCCCAAGGGUAUGGCUGUUCGCCAUUUAAAGUGGUACGCGAGCUGGGUUUAGAACGUCGUGAGACAGUUCGGUCCCUAUCUGCCGUGGGCGCUGGAGAAUUGAGGGGGGCUGCUCCUAGUACGAGAGGACCGGAGUGGACGCAUCACUGGUGUUCGGGUUGUCAUGCCAAUGGCACUGCCCGGUAGCUAAAUGCGGAAGAGAUAAGUGCUGAAAGCAUCUAAGCACGAAACUUGCCCCGAGAUGAGUUCUCCCUGAGACUUUAAGUCUCCUGAAGGAACGUUAAAGACGAUGACGUUGAUAGGCCGGGUGUGUAAGCGCAGCGAUGCGUUGAGCUAACCGGUACUAAUGAACCGUGAGGCUUAACCUU